rnacentral:tRNA from 1 species
GAGGGUGUAGCUCAGUGGUAGAGUGAAUGUUUAGCAUGCAAGAUGUCCUGGGUUCAAUCCCCAGUGCCUCUG